GGGCACGACACCGGAGAGGGAGCCUGAGAAACGGCUACCACAUCCAAGGAUGGCAGCAGGCGCGCAAAUUACCCAAUCCCGACACGGGGAGAUAGUGACAAUAAAUAACAAUACGGGGUUCUUUAGGAUCUCGUAAUUGGAAUGAGUACAAUUUAAAUCUCUUAACGAGGAACAAUUGGAGGGCAAGUCUGGUGCCAGCAGCCGCGGUAAUUCCAGCUCCAAUAGCGUAUAUUAAAGUUGUUGCAGUUAAAAAGCUCGUAGUUGAAUUUCGGGGUUAGUAGGUUGGUCAUGCCUCUGGUAUGUACUGGUCUCACUGAUUCCUCCUUCCUUAUGAACCGUAAUGCCAUUAAUUUGGUGUUGCGGGGAAUUUGGACUGUUACUUUGAAAAAAUUAGAGUGUUUAAAGCAAGCUAACGCUUGAAUACAUUAGCAUGGAAUAAUGAAAUAGGACGUUCGAUCUUAUUUUGUUGGUUUCUAGGAUUGACGUAAUGAUUAAUAGGGAUAGUUGGGGGCAUUAGUAUUCAAUUGUCAGAGGUGAAAUUCUUGGAUUUAUUGAAGACUAACUACUGCGAAAGCAUUUGCCAAGGAUGUUUUCAUUAAUCAAGAACGAAAGUUAGGGGAUCGAAGACGAUCANAUACCGUCGUAGUCUUAACCAUAAACUAUGCCGACUAGGGAUCGGAUGAUGUUAAUUUUUUAAUGACUCAUUCGGCGCCUUAC
rnacentral:rRNA from 1 species